rnacentral:rRNA from 1 species
AUUGCGAAGGCAGCUUUCUGGAUCAUUACUGACACUGAGGAACGAAAGCAUGGGUAGCGAAGAGGAUUAGAUACCCUCGUAGUCCAUGCCGUAAACGAUGUGUGUUAGACGUUGGAAAUUUAUUUUCAGUGUCGCAGGGAAACCGAUAAACACACCGCCUGGGGAGUACGACCGCAAGGUUAAAACUCAAAUGAAUUGACGGGGACCCGCACAAGUAGUGGAGCAUGUGGUUUAAUUCGAAGAUACGCGCAGAACCUUACCAACACUUGACAUGUUCGUCGCGACUCUAAGAGAUUAGAGUUUUCGGUUCGGCCGGACGAAACACAGGUGCUGCAUGGCUGUCGUCAGCUCGUGUCGUGAGAUGUUGGGUUAAGUCCCGCAACGAGCGCAACCCUCACUUUUAGUUGCCAUCAUUAAGUUGGGCACUCUGAAAGAACUGCCAGUGAUAAGCUGGAGGAGGGUGGGGAUGACGUCAAGUCCUCAUGGCCCUUACGUGUUGGGCUACACACGUGCUACAAUGGCAUCUACAACAGGAAGCAAAACGGCAACGUUAAGCAAAUCCCGAAAAGAUGCCUCAGUUCGGAUUGCACUCUGCAACUCGAGUGCAUGAAGCUGGAAUUACUAGUAAUCGUGGAUCAGCGUGCCACGGUGAAUGCGUUCCCGGGUCUUGUACACACCGCCCGUCACACCAUGGGAGUUGGUUCUACCUUAAGGCAAGGUUUUAAACCCUUGACCACGGUAUAGUCAGCGACUGGGGUGAAGUCGUAACAAGGUAGCCGUA